GGCCGCGGGAAUUCGAUUAGAGUUUGAUCCUGGCUCAGGGUGAACGCUGGCGGCGUGCUUGACACAUGCAAGUCGAACGGUAUGUGGCAACACAUAGAGUGGCGAACGGGUGAGUAACACGUGGGAACGUACCUUCUGCAGGGGGAUAACUGACCGAAAGGACAGCUAAUACCGCAUAAGACCGAGAGGAGAAAGGUGCAGCAGCAUCGGCAGAGGAGCGGCCCGCGGACCAUCAGCUAGUUGGUGGGGUAAGAGCCUACCAAGGCAACGACGGAUAGCCGGCGUGAGAGCGUGGCCGGCCACAAGGACACUGAGAUACGGGUCCUACUCCUACGGGAGGCGGCAGUGCGGAAUUUUAGAUAAUGGAGGCAACUCUGAUCUAGCGACGCCGCGUGCAGGAAGAAGGUCUUCGGAUUGUAAACUGCUGUGGUAAGGGAAAAAUGCCAUGUAGAGUGGAAAGCUACAUGGAGGGAUGGUACUUUACUAGAAAGCCCCGGCUAACUACAUGCCAGCAGCCGCGGUAAUACGUAGAGGGCGAGCGUUACCCGGAAUCACUGGGCGUAAAGGGAGCGUAGGUGGCCUGACAUGUCGACUGUGAAAACCCGGAGCUCAACUCCGGACUUGCAGUUGAAACUGCCAGGCUUGAGGACGGUAGAGGAAGACGGAACUGCCAGUGUAGGGGUAAAAUCCUUAGAUAUUGGCAGGAACGCCGGUGACGAAGGUGGUUUUCUGGGCCGGUUCUGACACUGAUGCUCGAAAGCCAGGGGAGCGAACGGGAUUAGAUACCCCGGUAGUCCUGGCCCUAAACGAUGU
rnacentral:rRNA from 1 species